rnacentral:rRNA from 1 species
AUGACGUACCCCACAAAGGCUUUAGCUCCAUUGAUGCUGGAAGAUUAUAGGAAAGUAAUGGUAGAUCACAGAGGAGAGGAGGAACAGUAUAGCUAUGAAGACAUUCAGAACUGUAUGAAGAAAGUCAUACCCUUGGACUUGAAGCAAACCAUUCAAGUAGAUAGAGACCUUGUGAUCCGUGCCUAUUAUGCUGGACAUGUUUUGGGAGCUGCAAUGAUUUAUGCAAAAGUUGGAGAUGCUGCUAUGGUCUACACCGGGGAUUACAAUAUGACACCAGACAGACAUCUUGGAGCAGCGCAAAUUGAUCAUCUGAAGUUGGAUCUCUUAAUAACGGAGUCUACAUACGCUAAAACUGUACGUGACUCAAAGCAUGCCCGUGAGAGGGAGUUCUUAAAAGCGGUCCAUAAAUGUGUUUCUGGAGGAGGUAAAGUUCUGAUUCCAGCAUUUGCUUUGGGCAGAGCUCAGGAGCUAUGCAUAUUGCUGGAUGACUAUUGGGAAAGGAUGAACUUGAAGAUUCCUAUUUAUUUCUCAGCUGGUUUAACCAUUCAAGCUAACAUGUACUACAAGAUGCUUAUUGGAUGGACUAGCCAGAAGAUCAAGGACAGCUACACAGUUCACAACCCAUUUGACUUUAAGCAUGUUUGCGACUUCCAGCGUUCAUUCAUUAAUGAUCCUGGACCCUGUGUACUUUUUGCGACACCUGGUAUGAUUAGCGGUGGAUUUUCCCUUGAGGUGUUUAAAAGAUGGGCUCCAUCAGAAAAAAAUCUGGUUACACUUCCAGGAUAUUGUGUUGCCGGAACCAUUGGCCAUAAAUUGAUGUCUGGAAAACCAACCAGAAUCGAUUUAGACAAGGAAACACAUAUUGAUGUCAGAUGUCAGAUUCAUCAGCUGUCAUUCAGUCCUCACACAGACUCCAAAGGGAUCAUGGAUCUCACAGAAUUUCUUUCACCCAGCCAUGUGAUUCUUGUUCAUGGUGAAAAGCCUCAGAUGUCCUUUUUGAAGGAGAGGAUUGAAUCUGAAUUGGGGAUGCCAUGCUAUUACCCAGCUAACAACGAGACUGUCUCCAUUCCGACGACCAAGAAUCUAAAAAUAAGCGCCACGGAGAAGUUUAUCACAAGCUGUAGCACUGCUCAGGCUAGAGAUAGUCCACAGAAGUCGAACCUGAUUUGUGGUAACCACCUGUCAGGAGCCAACGGUGACGAGAAGCUAGCGGAGGGCAUUCUUCUGAUGGAGAAGAGCAAGGACGCGAAAAUUUUGUGCGAGGAUGAGCUUCUUCAGUUGCUGGGCGCAGAAGGACAUUCAGUCCAAUUUGAACCACUGCUUCGCUCCAGGAUUGGAGAGGCAGAAACCGACAUUGUAGAUAAUUUAGCCAGUGAGUGA